CGUGUAGGCGGCUUCUUAAGUCUGGUGUGAAAGCCCGGGGCUUACCCCCGGAAGGGCACUGGAGACUGGGGAGCUAGAGUACCGGAGAGGAAGGUGGAAUUCCUGGUGUAGCGGUGAAAUGCGUAGAUAUCAGGAGGAACACCGGUGGCGAAGGCGGCCUUCUGGACGGAUACUGACGCUGAGACGCGAAAGCGUGGGGAGGCAAAACA
rnacentral:rRNA from 1 species